rnacentral:rRNA from 1 species
UACGUAGGGUGCAAGCGUUGUCCGGAAUUAUUGGGCGUAAAGAGCUCGUAGGCGGUCUGUCGCGUCUGCUGUGAAAACCUAGGGCUUAACUCUGGGCGUGCAGUGGGUACGGGCAGGCUAGAGUGCGGUAGGGGAGACUGGAAUUCCUGGUGUAGCGGUGAAAUGCGCAGAUAUCAGGAGGAACACCGGUGGCGAAGGCGGGUCUCUGGGCCGUAACUGACGCUGAGGGGCGAAAGCAUGGGGAGCGAACAGG